AACGAACGCUGGCGGCAUGCCUAACACAUGCAAGUCGAACGAGACCUUCGGGCCUAGUGGCGCACGGGUGCGUAACGCGGGGGAACCUGCCCUUAGGUUCGGAAUAACUCCCCGAAAGGGGUGCUAAUACCGGAGAAUGUCUUCGGACCAACGAUUUAUCGCCUUUGGGUGGGCGCGCGUUGGAUUAGCCAGUUGGUAGGGUAAAAGCCUACCAAGGCGAGGAUGCAUAGCUGGUCUGUGAGGAUGAUCAGCCACACUGGGACUGAGACACGGCCCAGAAUCCUACGCGAGGCAGCAGUAGGGAAUAUUGGGCGAUGGGCGAAAGUCUGAUCCAGCAGUGCCGCGUGAGUGAUGAAGGCCUUAGGGUUGUAAAGCUCUUUUACCCGGGAUGAUAGUGACAGUACCGGGAGAAUAAGCACCGGCUAACUCCGUG
rnacentral:rRNA from 1 species